rnacentral:lncRNA from 1 species
CAAAUGCCUGGACACUUGGAAGCAGUUCAAGUGCGACUGCGGCGAGGGCUUCCAGCUUAGUCCCGACGGCUCCUCCUGUCUGGAUGUGGACGAGUGUCGCUACGAGCCUUGCCUCAACUUCGCCUCGUGCUCAAACUCGGUGCCAGGCUACCACUGCUCCUGC